ensembl:lncRNA
GCCACAGCCAUGCCAGAUCUGAGCCACGUCUGCAACCUACACCACGGCUCAUGGAAACGCUGGAUCCUUAACCCACUGAGCAAGGCCAGGGAUGGAACCUGCAACCUCAUGACCUCAUGGUUCCUAAUUGGAUUCGUUAACCACUGAGCCAUGACGGGAACUCCCUCUUUUGCAUUUUCAAUGAUAGGCUUUCCCUGAGGAAAUUUAAAUGGAGCAUUUCACUGGCAAAGGAAAUGUGAGUGAAAGGGCCUCUGAGUAAAAAACAUAAACAGCAUUAGAACGUGGAAUGCACUUGACCUGAGAGAAUCACUCAAUGACACUCACUUGACCUCUAAGUCCAAGUAUAUCAUAUGCUAAAAAAUAUAUAUAUGUUCAGGAGAAGAAAAACACCAAAUAUUCUUUAGUCAAUAAGAAUCCCAAAGGGAAGUUUUACCAUUGCUGAAGAGUUAUUGGUUGGGAUGGAAAGUAACCAUGCACAUUUCUUCUUGUGGAGAAGGUGAGAGUUCUGUUUCCAUUUCAGUUCAACUCUGAAAGGUCCUACCGCAGACAAUCACAUUUUUAAAUAAUCGAGUCAGAUUCCCCAAGUCCAAGUUCCUCUCAGUCCCAUAAGGGCUUAGAAGAAACCCUUGGGCUAGUUUCUGUGUCAGAGGACAUGCCCAGUGGUACCUUGAAAGUGAUAACCUCUUGGCAAAGUGAGAUAGAGAAAAGAUACUCAGAGAGAAGGGGGCAAAGCACAUAGCAUCUUUUCUAUCUGUUGUCUUGGCAGAAAUUUCAGCACAUCAUGAGCACUCAACAUUUGUUUGACAGAAUUAUUUAUGAAUUAAAUUUUAAAACUGACAUCCUCAUGAGAUAGGUAGGAGGAAAAAUUAUUUUUAUUUCAGAGAUGGGAAAAAGGAGUACAGAGAGAUGGUGUCUUGGUGGAGGUCAGACAAUGCAAAUGACUUAAGAUGAGGUAGCCCCCAUCUUCCCCUCAUGAUCUGCACCUUCUCCUGUGUUUGACAUCUCCGUUCACGUCACCACCCACACCACCCCUCUUGCUGAACUUGUCAGAGUCAAGCUGGACCCCUUCUGCUCCUCCCCUCCUAUAGGAGUUGUCCUCAAAUGCUACUGAGUCAGCCCCAGCUUCCAGCCCUUCCUCUCUGUCCUCACAGCCAUGACCUUGGUCCAUCCUUGUCUCUCACCGGGACACUCACAAAGGGACUAAGCAAUUCAAACAACGAAUACAACUCAACAGCAAAAAUAAAUAAAUAAUAAACAACCCCAUUGGAAAAUAGGCAGAAGACCUGAAUAGACAUUUCACCAAAGACGACAUGCAGAUGGCCAACAGACACAUGAAAAAUGCUCAACAUCCAAAAGAAACGAAAAGAGUAUUCCCAGCCACCCCCCCCAAAAAAAACCCAAAAAAAAAACAAAACAACAAAAAACCACCCUUAUAGUCUCAAGGGGAAGAUAGAAAAUCUACAGUGUACAAAGGUGACACAAUAGAGGUAAAAAGAGCGCACGAUGGGCACACAGAGUUCAGACAUCCAUUCAUUCAUUUUUAAAUAUUUUGAUGUUGAGCAAACCAUGUGCCAGGCAUUAGGCUAGCACAGCUGGAGAGCAGCAGUGAUCAAGGCCAUUAAGUUUAUACUCUCCCCACAAAGCUUGUACUUUCAUGGAGGUGACAGACCCAAAAAUAGCAUAGAUGAGAGAUGAUGAGAUAGAUGAGAGAUAGGUAGGCAGGUAGACGGUGUGUAUGUGUGUGAGGGAGGGUGAGAAUCAAGUAAUGUUAAUGGCUCUAAAGCAAAAUGCAACAGGGAUAGAGAUCCAUGCAGGUGUUAGUAUAAACAGGAUGAUCAGAGAAAGCCUCUCUGUGGUGGUCCAAUUGGAGCUAAGACCUACAAGAAGUGAGGGAACAAGCCACUGCAAAACACCUCUGCAAAAUCCUCCAGGCAGCGUGAACAGAGGUACACAAACCCUGUGAUGGAAAUGUGCAUUUCCCUCCAGCCAGGAUCCAGGGACAAUUUCGUAAAGAUGAAGCAUGAGCUGACUUGAAGAAAGAAUGACUCACCAGGUGGAAACGGAGAUGGACGGAACGCAUCCCAGCCAAAGACAGAUGUGGGCAGAUUGCAAAGCCAGGAGAAAGGAACGGUUCCUUCUGGAGCUCCAAGGGGUGGUUAUGACUACUUAGCCACCAUAUAAACUUGGGUCUGCGCCACCAGCUUCCUACACCAUGAACUCGCCAGGUUUUCUGCCUCCUCUUUGCUCAAUUUGAACUCUCUUCCUACACAGGCAUUUCGCCCAGAAAAGCUCUCUGUUGAUCAGCUGCUCCUACAAAAAGCUGGCCCAGCCAGGCACUGUGGGUAAGGUUUUGACGCUUCUCCAUGCACUCAACUGGCCUGAGGUUCUUGAUGCAGGUAAGGGGGUGGGCAAAGCUCAGACAUGGUCCACAGGUCACCCAGGAGGUGCUGGACAACACCCUGAGGCUGUUUCUGAGCAAUAGCUCGGGGUAAGGGGUGGGGCCUUGCUUUGCUUCACUGAUUCUUUGCAAAAAUAAGCGGGGCCUCAGUUUCUCCAUCUGUUACACAAGGACCAAUAGUUUGAGCUCUCCUCCAGCUUUCCAGUGCCCUGGAGGGUUAAUUAAAAGUAGCUUACUUAUAAAGCUUGAAUUCCUCCAAGCAUGGCUUCCUAUAAAUACAAUACUAAGCCUUCAGCAGCAGCCAGAGGGCCUGUGACCAUUUCUACAUCAGCACUCUUUAUUUUUUGCUACAGAAGCAAUUCCAUCACAACAGAAUUCACAACUGGAGGGGAAAAAAUUAUUCCCAAUGUAGCCUCCAUAUAAUCGAGAAAGAUACAAAUGGGCCAUAGGGAUACCACAGAGGAAGCCAGAAGGGGCAAGGGAAGCAUCACCAGGCAGCAGGAGCCCAGAACUCAGUGGGGGAAACGGGGGUGGGGGGGUGCUACUGAGACAGCCUGACACAGUAGGGACAUAGCAGGUAACCACCUGCCAUUACAGUCACAUUCCCAGGAACAGGCCUGGAAAAGCAUCCACAAAAUCUCAAGCAACGCGUGCCCUUAUCUUUUAAACCAACUACAUCUCCACUUGAGUCCCUUCAAACAACAGAACCACCCGUAUCAUUGUCACCCUGCUAAGACCUUGAGUGGCAUCCUGGAUUUUCCCCAUCCUCUCACAGUCUAAUCAGCCACCAAGUAAGGAAACUGGUGAUGUAUGAAGCAGGGCUCGAAAGGCAACCCGUAACUGAGCGAAUAGGGCCCUUCUACACAGAAAGCAGCAGAGCCGGACAUGCCAGGCUCCUGGAAGGCACUUUCUGCCUAGAGUUUGCUCCUGUCUCCAAUCACUUCAUUUGCUCUCCAGCUUCUGCUCUAUGCUCCCGUCUCCCCUUCCAACGUGGAUGCCUGCUCUACGUGACCUUUGCCUUCUCAAACACGGCCCUUGAUGCAUUUCUGGCACUGACCCCUGGUUUCAGUCUGCCUAUGUCUCAUGUUGAGGAAAGCACGCCAGCUCCUCCCUCUGCAGCAACACUCAGUCCUUAGUUCAUUUCUUCACAUGCAGGUAGCAAUGAGGGACAGAGAUCCUACUGUGUGUCGCAUGCCAUCUGGAGCACAGAGGACACAGGGGCAUAAGAUAGAGAAGAUUUCCACUCUUGGGGAGCACACGUGCUGUAAACAGAAGAAAUGUCAAGAGGAGAGAGGUGGCUGAUGGGGGGUCUCUGACAACAUAGAUGGUCAGGCAAGACCUCUCAGAAGAGGUGAUAUUGAACAGAUGAGAAAGAGCCAACCAGGAAGCAAUGCAAGGGAUGAGAGUGAGAGUAGCAGAGUCAGGGAGCCCAGCCAGUUCAAGGGUCCUGGGGUCAGAUCAAGCUGUGUGAAAAGCUGAGGGAGCUUGUGUGGCUGGGGCAGAAGGAGUGGGGGGAUUGACGGGGAUGAGAUCAGAGAAGUUCCAAAUGUUCUAGGGUCUCCUUGCCUAGGGUAAGGAUUUAGGGUUUAUAGGUGAAAUGGGAAGGCACUCCUAACAAAGAGUCAUUGGUUCUGAUUUGGGUCCAUGUAUCUUUAAAGAUCACUACGGCUGCUGGGUAGAAGGCACGGGUGGAAACAGAGAUCCAUCAGGAGGCAGCCACACCUGAAACUGACAGUAUUAACGGCCUGAACCGAGCCAGAACCCAGACUGGGACUUGAACCCACGUUUUUAAAUUAGAAUCACUCACCCUGUGUCCGGACGCACUGAAGUUCAGGUUCUUCAUGUCUCCGUGCAGAAAGAAUUCAGCGAGAGACAAAGUGAUAGGCAAGCAAUAGAUUUGCUAAGAUAGGACGCUGGUGAGAGAUGCAAGCAGGCAGGCACAGAAGCUCUGCCCUGAGGAUCUGGUGGGCUACAGUUUUAACAUCCAAUGGGAGCAGGGGUUGAAAAAGUCCGCCUCUUCCUUUCUGGGAGUAGCAACUCCUCCUUGGUAUCCAGUAAGGUGUGUAUUCAGAUCAGCAGUAGGGAGAUCCUCAAACUCCAGCCCUUGGUCUGAACCUGAACGCAGGCCUCAUCCCAUCCCCUACCCAACAACCUGAGGCAAGUCUCGUGCCUCCACUAGUCAAGCAAGCCUGCCUUGUGCUGAUGGCUUUUUUGAGCAAUUGACUUACGGUGAUCUCCCAAUGUUGCCUAAGUUUCCCUCGUUACCCGUGGUCUUUUAUUGGGACUUCUAAACCUACCUGUGCCUACUCCAUCCCUCUCACAGGGUCCAGAUGAGUGGAGGUGGGUGCUGAGGUGGGGUGUCUCCGUGAAGAUGGAGGGAGUUUCUGUAGUUCAUCCACGCCCCGCCUUCACCCACCCGCAUGCAAACCUUCUUCCCUUUUGCCCAGAUUGCCACAGCAGCCUCUGGAAGCUUUGUAUUCCCCAGCCACUCCCACAUCAUCAGCUCUCAACACCACCUGGCCCUACAUCCUGAAUCACAGCUCCGGGGACCCUGCUAAAUACCUAACCCAUCUCUCAGCCCUUAUUCGCACAUGCCCCUGACCCAAUUUGGGUGAAUGAGAUGCACGGGGUGUGGCUUCCCAGAAAGCCCUGCUUUUCCAAAACAAAAAUAACGGACUCAGCUGGCGCCAGAGUUUGCCCAGUUUUUUCCUGUGGUACCCACAACUUGCCUGCAGGUGAAACCCCGUGUUGAGGAUGGUGGAGCGCGGAGCUAGAAGGGCCCAGGUCCUGUCUGCAUUUCUGAGCCCUGAGAGCAUCCCUAGACCGCCCCCCUCUGUUCAAAGCAGCAGAGCGCAUGUUCUCACCAAAGCAAGGAGCUCAUUCACCUGCAGCACUACCCUGCGAGAGUUUUCAGGGAUACAAACUCUUGACUUCUGGGGAGUGACUGCCAGGCUAUAGCACCUACAAGCAAAUGUGCCACUGGAGGGAGAACUUUGGGCCAAAGCCCAGGGACUCAGCUCAUCGUGGAGGUAGCGGUGGGGAUAGGGGGCUGGAUUCCCUCCUUUGAAGUCAGCGCAUCCUUGGAGCAUCUAGAGAAGCUCCAGAGCACAUGGCCCAAGGCAGUGUCCUAAAGACAAACCCCCUCCGUCAGCUGCUGUGUAUCAGGAGACCAAAGAGGACCUGGAAUCGAGACAAGACUCACCUCCAAAAUCCCAAAGACCCUCAGAGGUGGG